rnacentral:ncRNA from 2 species
AAUAAUAUAAAUAAGAUAAAUUUAUCAAAACUUAUUGCACAUAAAUACAAUUUGGGAAAUACAGGUGAAAAGCCGUAGCUGUGUCGCAACUGUAUUGAUUCAAUGAAUCUAAGCCAGGAUACCAAUUUGUAUGAAGCUCUUACU